UCUCAGGGUUUCCUGGGCAUGGGAUCAUAAUUUCUAUCCCCUGAUGCCCAGGUGCCAUGGGGACCAUGGAGGCCAUGGGGUGGGAAGGCCAGGUAUUGCCAUGCUCACAGAAUGAGUUUGGGGGUCUCCUCUGGUUCUGAGGCCUCCAUCCUCCCUUGUCCUUGUGGGUGCAGCCCUGCUUCCCUCUCUGUGCCCCGUGGGUGCCCUAGGUGCCUAGGAGGCUGGCACAUCUGGGCACCGCACUUCCCCAGGCCCUUCUCUCUGCAGCCUGGGCUCUGAGCAGAGCUUCCGGAUUCACUUCUCCAGAGAGGACCAGGCUGGGAAGACACUCAGGCUGAGUGAGUGCAGCUUCCGGCCAGAGCAUGUGUCCAGGCUGGCCACCGGCUUGAGCCAGUCCCUGCAGCUGACGGAGCUCACGCUGACCCAGUGCUGCCUGGGCUGGAAGCAGCUGGCCAUCCUCCUGAGCUUGGUGGGGCGACCCGCAGGGCUGUUCAGCCUCAGAGACUCCACAAGGCACACAGAGAAACUGUCUUUCCCCAGGCUAGAGGCCUGUGCUUUGGGAUUUAAGAAAAAA
rnacentral:sRNA from 1 species